rnacentral:rRNA from 1 species
AGUGAACGCUGGCGGUAGGCCUAACACAUGCAAGUCGAACGGCAGCACAGUAAGAGCUUGCUCUUACGGGUGGCGAGUGGCGGACGGGUGAGGAAUACAUCGGAAUCUACUUUUUCGUGGGGAUAACGUAGGGAAACUUACGCUAAUACCGCAUACGACCUACGGGUGAAAGCAGGGGAUCUUCCGACCUUGCGCGAUUGAAUGAGCCGAUGUCGGAUUAGCUAGUUGGCGGGGUAAAGGCCCACCAAGGCGACGAUCCGUAGCUGGUCUGAGAGGAUGAUCAGCCACACUGGAACUGAGACACGGUCCAGACUCCUACGGGAGGCAGCAGUGGGGAAUAUUGGACAAUGGGCGCAAGCCUGAUCCAGCCAUACCGCGUGGGUGAAGAAGGCCUUCGGGUUGUAAAGCCCUUUUGUUGGGAAAGAAAAGCAGCAGGUUAAUACCCCGCUGUUCUGACGGUACCCAAAGAAUAAGCACCGGCUAACUUCGUG